GGGAACAAAGGUACAAAUAGAAAUGAGUGUUCCUGGAAAGGCCACGGCCUUAAGUUGGAUCCCCUAGAAGCAGAGCCCGAGACAGGUAUUCUUGUUUAAGAGGUUUACUGGGAGAACACUCCCAGGAGAAGGGGAGAGAGGGAAGUGGUAUAGGGCAGAGGAGAAAAGGCGAGCAAGAGUGUGGUCGGCUCCAGCGUCUGGCUCCCAUCUGCUCUCGUGGGAAUGUUCUGGAGCACAAAGCGUGCCAUCUCACACAGGUCUUGAGCCUGGGGAUCCACCGGCUUGAGUGACAACCUCCCUAAGCCCCAUUUCCUCCUCUGUAUACGACGGGGGAUACCUGAGAUGAGGAUGCGAGGUACCCAGGGUGCUGCCGGGAACAAGAAUACCCAGGAGGCAGCGGUGGAGAGGACAAGAACAGCCAGGAGCCCCGACCGGACGGAGCCCACGAGCACGGUGUGCUGUGGCCAAGGCAGAGCCGCAUGCACAGAGUGCCUGGCCUGGAAGACUGGCCUAGAAGCUUGUCCAGAUUCAGCAGAAAGAGCAUUCAGAUCAGUGCUGUCUGCCCUGAGUGACAGGGGAGGGUGGCAUGUGGGUCAUGUAUUUUCUACCCCUGGAACUUGGCAGGAACACCUAAUACUUGUUGCAUGCUUAUUUUUUUUUACCACACACCACGCUAAAUUCUUUACGCGACUUGUAUCCUUUAACGCUCUUAACCCUAUAAGGCCGGGACUCUUACUAGUCUUAUUUUACAGAUGCGGAAUCUGGCACAGAGAGGGUAAGUAACUUGCCUUCUGUCUCACAGUCAUUGGUUGUGGCUCGUUUCUGCCACGUUUCACAGUCUAUUGAGACUGGAAGCUCUUUGAAAGGAGGGGCACGAUUGUAUCUAUUUUGGACCCUCCGUGGCCUCCUAGGUGUUUGGAUGGUUUUCAUUGCUACACUGAACUCAGUGGUUCUCGCUGGACACACGGUCGCUUGGGAUGUUUCAAAAGCUUCUCGCAUCUGGGCCCAACCUCAUAUUACUUGCAUCUGGGUCUCUGAGGUUAGGGCCUGGGCAUCUGUGCCUAGGGAGUCUCAACAAAGCUGAGAAACGUUGGGCUAAAUAAAAUUCUUUGUCAAACUGCAAGCUUUUCUUCCCGCCUGUUGGCACUGGGGGGUGCUGUGGGAUAGUCUAAAAAAAAAAAUAGUAUUUCCUUUAACCCAAGGAACACAUUUCUUUUUGUUUGCAAAUUUGUUUUGUGUAUCUCCUCUCAGGGGCUUGGUAGAAAGCUUGUCAAGACAGGUAAUGGCCUGAACUAGCCUCUCUGUGGCUCUUUUGAAGGUGGACCACUGAAAUUGAAGCAGGCAGACCUAGAAAAUUUCUGCAGUCUGCAGUUCGUUUUGUUUUCAGCCUUCCUUCAGGAGCAGUUGGUCUGUGCUCAGGACGAAGAGGUUUGCAAGGAAUCACUUGAGGUGUGGCAGGCUGAACAGCCACCCGGAAGGUGUCCCUGUCUAAUCCCCAGGACCCGAGACUCUAUGACCUUACAUUGCGAAGGGAGAUUUGCAGGGAUGAUCAGGAGACCCACGGAGUUAUAAGGAAAAGCCAGCUGGGGAAAGAGUCUCUUUCGGAUAAAAGGAGGGAUGGGCAUGGGGAAAGAGCAAGGAGUCCAUGGAAAUUCUGCUUGUUAGUGAUGGUGAACUGGAGUGGCCUGGAUAUUUGAAUCAGCACCCUGGGUUUUUCAGCAGAUACCGGGGUUUUUCAGGGUAUGAAACCUGAGUCAGGGAGGCUGAAUACCUUGGCCAAAGUCACACAACAGAGCAAGGGACGGAGUCCCGAUUGCAAAGCUGCCGUGUCAGCUCUGAAGCCUGUGCAUCUGACCACUAGAGAGAGACAGAACAUGAGCUGGGGAGGAACAGAGAG